UACGAAGGGGGCUAGCGUUGUUCGGAAUUACUGGGCGUAAAGCGCGCGUAGGCGGAUUUGCCAGUCAGGGGUGAAAUGCCAGGGCUUAACCUUGGAACUGCCUUUGAUACUGCAAGUCUGGAGUACGGGAGAGGUGAGUGGAAUUCCGAGUGUAGAGGUGAAAUUCGUAGAUAUUCGGAGGAACACCAGAAGCGAAGGCGGCUCACUGGCCCGAUACUGACGCUGAGGCGCGAAAGCGUGGGGAGCAAAAGGG
rnacentral:rRNA from 1 species